rnacentral:miRNA from 1 species
AGUUCCACUAAUCAAGUUUUG